UGUGUGUGUGUGUGUGUGUGUGUGUGUGUGUAUACAUCACAGUCUAAUUCCUGGCAGAAAGAGAAAGAGACGCUGAUGUCAUGGAUCAGAGCCAAGGCACUUCUCAGCAAUUAGACGGUCACAACACACACACAAUAUAUCACACACACACACACACACACACACACACACA
rnacentral:miRNA from 14 species